rnacentral:pre_miRNA from 1 species
UGAUGAUGAUGAUGGUGAUGGUGAUGGUGAUGAUGAUGAUGAUGAUGAUGAUGCUGCUGCUGCGUCGUCGUUGUCGUCGUCAUCGUCGUCGUCAUCGUCAUCAUCAUCAUCAUCAUCAUCAUCA